rnacentral:rRNA from 1 species
GAUGAACGCUAGCGGCAGGCUUAAUACAUGCAAGUCGAGGGGCAGCAGGACUGUAGCAAUACAGUUGCUGGCGACCGGCAAACGGGUGCGGAACACGUACGCAAUCUACCCAGAACUGGUGAAUAGCCCUCCGAAAGGAGGAUUAAUACACCGUAAUCUACUUGAGUGGCAUCACUUGAAUAGUAUAGCUCCGGCGGUUUUGGAUGAGCGUGCGGCNGAUUAGGUAGUUGGUUGGGGUAACGGCCCACCAAGCCAGCGAUCAGUAACUGGUGUGAGAGCACGACCAGUCACACGGGCACUGAGACACGGGCCCGACUCCUACGGAGGCAGCAGUAAGGAAUAUUGGUCAAUGGACGCAAGUCUGAACCAGCCAUGCCGCGUGAAGGAUGAAGGUCCUCUGGAUUGUAAACUUCUUUUAUCUGGGACGAAACCUCUUAUUCUUAAGAGACUGACGGUACCAGAGGAAUAAGCACCGGCUAACUCCGUACCAGC